rnacentral:piRNA from 1 species
UUCGCAUUCUUAGAGCCAGCUCUGGACAC